UACGGGGGGGGCAAGCGUUGUUCGGAAUUACUGGGCGUAAAGGGCUCGUAGGUGGCCAACUAAGUCAGACGUGAAAUCCCUCGGCUUAACCGGGGAACUGCGUCUGAUACUGGAUGGCUUGAGUUCGGGAGAGGGAUGCGGAAUUCCAGGUGUAGCGGUGAAAUGCGUAGAUAUCGGAAGGAACACCGGUGGCGAAAGCGGCGCGCUGGGUCUCUUCUGACGCUGAGGCGCGAAAGCCAGGGGAGCGGAACGGG
rnacentral:rRNA from 1 species